rnacentral:lncRNA from 1 species
CUUUGAAAGAGUUUGCUUUUCCAUCCAACCCUCUGUAGGACAUAUAGCCUUUUAUAUGCAGAUUGGCAUAAUUACACUUUGAAAUAGCUUUGAAUUCCCUGUAGCUUAGACUGAGAACAUGAAAGGCCAAAUGUUAUAUCGAACUGAAGGAUAUAAAAGUGCACAUACAUCAAUCCAGAAUGACAUAGCUUUACACAGCGAUGUCAGUUUUUGACAGAUUAUUGAAGGGUCUUUAUAAUUGCGGAAGCUGCCUUGGGUAGCAUGAAAACUCUGCCUGGGGAUGGCCUUAUCAGUUGGUCCUUUUCUAUUCUUUCAGUACCAAAGGGUGAGUACACGUUAAAUGAAACAAGAGAAAAACUCUCUGACAAAAGCUUUCUUUCUCUUCUCUUCCCCAGAGAUGACACCUGGCCCCAAAUGGUAAAACACAGUGUGGUCUAAUGAUGAAAUUGUCUACCCGAUCUGUCACACUUGCAGUGGCAGCCUAGAGGAGGAGGGUACCUUUCCGGAAGUCAAUAGAAAACCCACAUGGCAGUCUUCACCUCCGCAGAGCUCCCAGUUAACAGGGCCUCUCGCUCACAGGAGGGGAAAUCCUUUUGCCAGUAACAGACCCAUCAAGGGUAGUUAAAGCACCCACAUUCCUUAUAAGAUAAAAAACGAUAAAAAGAACACGUGGGGUUUUCAUAUGUUCACAAUAUGAAAUCAAUACUAUGCUUAUUUAAAAACAGACUGUAAAAAACUUUAUUUUGAAAGAGGAUAUACUAUUAACUUUUAUUAUCCUGCAAUUAUCCUGACUGCUUUAAGUAAAAGCACAUCUUAAAAUUGUUCUUUUGCAAGAGCUAUGCAUAAACAAUCUAUUUUUUUUCUACUUAAAGGGCAUAUCCUCUCCU